UACGGGGGGGGCAAGCGUUGUUCGGAAUUACUGGGCGUAAAGGGCGCGUAGGCGGUCAGCACAAGUCAGUUGUGAAAUCUCCGGGCUUAACUCGGAAAGGUCAACUGAUACUGUGCGACUAGAGUGCAGAAGGGGCAACUGGAAUUCUCGGUGUAGCGGUGAAAUGCGUAGAUAUCGAGAGGAACACCUGCGGCGAAGGCGGGUUGCUGGGCUGACACUGACGCUGAUGCGCGAAAGCCAGGGGAGCGAACAGG
rnacentral:rRNA from 1 species